GACGAACGCUGGCGGCGUGCUUAACACAUGCAAGUCGAGCGGUAAGGCCCUUUCGGGGGUACGACGAGCGGCGAACGGGUGAGUAACACGUGGGUGACCUGCCCUCAGCUCUGGGAUAAGCCUGGGAAACCGGGUCUAAUACCGGAUAUGACUCCAUGACGCAUGUUGUGGGGUGGAAAGCCUUGUGCGGCUGAGGAUGGGCCCGCGGCCUAUCAGCUUGUUGGUGGGGUGAUGGCCUACCAAGGCGACGACGGGUAGCCGGCCUGAGAGGGCGACCGGCCACACUGGGACUGAGACACGGCCCAGACUCCUACGGGAGGCAGCAGUGGGGAAUCUUGCGCAAUGGGCGAAAGCCUGACGCAGCGACGCCGCGU
rnacentral:rRNA from 1 species